GCCUUCGUGGUGUAGUGGUCAGCACGCUCGACGCGUAACCGGAAUGUCCGUGGUUCGAUUCCUGGCGAAGGGG
rfam:Stegodyphus mimosarum contig101518, whole genome shotgun sequence.